GACGAACCGAGCGAACGUUGUUCGGAAUCACUGGGCUUAAAGGGCGCGUAGGCGGCUUGCCAAGUCAGGGGUGAAAUUUUGCGGCUUAACCGUAACAGUGCCUUUGAUACUGGCAGGCUAGAGGGAAAUAGGGGUUCGCGGAACUUCUGGUGGAGCGGUGAAAUGCGUUGAUAUCAGAAGGAACGCCGGUGGCGAAAGCGGCGAACUGGAUUUUUCUGACGCUGAGGCGCGAAAGCUAGGGGAGCAAACGGG
rnacentral:rRNA from 1 species